ACACAGGGGCCGAGUGCGGGAGAGGACAUGCGUCUUUAUCCCACAGCAGAGGGAAACCUCCCCAGGCCUCUAGUCCAGGCCUGACCCCUAUCGGGGUGGCCUUUGGGAGGGAGGGUCCCUUGGGAUGCUAGGUAAAGAUCGGGGAGGUCAGGGUGGCAGGAGCCGGGCUGGCAGGAGGCUGACGGUCCCUGCAGGUGCAUGAAGGUGCAGGAGAACUUGCAAGACCCCAAGAAUGGAUAUGCCUCCUUAAACGUGUACCCUGUGUGCCCCGCUCACCUUACCCGAGACCCAGCCCCAGCCCCGGUCACAGAGGGAGAAAUUUGAAUAUAAGACACAAUGGAAAUAGCAAAACCAGUUCCACUCUCCUUAGUCUUCUAAACAGAAAGAGGGAUUCGAUGUGGGAAGCAGUAAAAGUUUAUUCCACACCAGGAGAUUUUAUGUUUUUGCCCCUAGAGCACUUUUCCCCUUGUUUUACUCGUGUUUCGGAAAUCUAGAAGACUUGCGAGUAUGGAGGAAAACAAUGAAAACAGCCUAACUGUUGGAUAUUUUUAAAAGAAAAUUCAGCAGAGCAGUUUACCCCCUUCCAGAUGUGGUUUCGCAUGGGCACAGUGGGACGGAAACUAGAUUCUCAACAGCAAAAGCCUUAUUUUCACUGAGAGUGGUUGAAGGAAAAUUAUUGUAUGCUGUUAAAAGAACUGAAAAACAGCAUGUGAAUCUCAUCAGCUGGAUAUAUUGUGACAACAUCAGCUGAUUGUUAUGCAUCUCAAAAUAUGAAACUCCAUCAAUUUUUCUAAAUUUGCUUUUGCACAUCAGUGGAAUAUCUAUCUAUCUAUCUAUCUAUCUAUCUAUCUAUCUAUCUAUCAUCAAGUCUAGAAAGCUGAGAAGGAAAGCAGAGACCAAAAGCCCAGCUGGAAGGGCACCUGUUGGCUGCAUCUGUUGACUGCACCUGUUAGUAGCAUCAGGAGGCACACUUGCACAAGGUGUGGAGUAGUCUGGAGGCUUGUGGGAAAGGGAGAUGAUCUGAUCGACACCACCAAUCUUCCCGCAUCCUCAGCACCACCUCCAUCCUCAUCGGAUGUAGAUACACUAUCCAGCCUCAGUGACUCGCUCCAGCUCACGCACCUGCUACAUGGACAUCGUGGAGGCCAAGCUUCUGAUCUUGGCAGGACAGUGGCUCCGCACAGCUGAUCAUUUGACAUCCCAGGACCUAGGGAUGGACAUGGUGAAAUAUAACAUUCUGAUCUGGCCCUAAAUCUGCUGCUUGGUCACAGAAGGCCAAGGGAAGGCUUAUGCGGUUAAGGGAAAAAACUCACCCGAAGCACAUCAAGUGUUGUCUGCUGUCAUCAGGCUCUGAGCAGUUCUCUCUACAACGAUGCUUAGAAAACCAGGAAGAAAUACUCCCACCUCCAAGGCUGUGUUGCUAAGUGUGUGUUUCCAGAGUUGCCUUGGGCAAAGUCCGUUGCCCAUCACCACAGCUUCGGGUCAUCGCUGCCACGAGGACUACCCCUUCAGAGGAAGAAGGGAAUCCAUGCUUCCCUGCCUGCUUGGCCUGAGUUGACGUCCUUGCUCUGGGCUGUGAGGUCUACAUACCUGGCCCUGCAAGGUUCAGUCCCACGCAUGGACCUUCUGUGUCUGCAACCUCCCAGCAUCAGCACGAAAAAGCAACCUGCCGUAGAGAGCGGGGGUGUGGUCCAGCAGUCCUGCACCUGCUGGGAUGUGGAUGAGGCGCAUGUUGAGAACAACCCGGUGGGAAAGGCCUACUUUCUCAAGUGCUCCUUCUGGGAAAACAGCCCCAGGUGUUCAGAGACCAGCUGCAGACCAAACGGCAAAGCUGCAGACCAUCCCCCGCCGGCCUUUGUGACCAAGAAGAAACACCCUGUGAGUUAAGUGUCCAGUUAAAACAUGGAGAGGCCAAGGUGUUGGCUGAGCGGCGCUCAGUGUUGGGUCCUUCUGGCUUGGGAAGGGCACGCCCCGUCACACGUUUUUGUUCCAUGAAACAGAUAAUUGCUGAUUUGGGGACGAUAACCUCAGAUACUAGCUAAACCAUUUUUGAACUUCC
rnacentral:lncRNA from 1 species